rnacentral:rRNA from 1 species
UGAGGAAUAUUGCACAAUGGGCGCAAGCCUGAUGCAGCGACGCCGCGUGUGGGAUGAAGGGGCUACGCCUCGUAAACCACUGUAGCCCGGGACGAAACACGCCUUAGAGGCGUUAGACGGUACCGGGAAAGUAAGGGUCGGCUAACGACGUGCCAGCAGCCGCGGUAAUACGUAGGACCCAAGCGCUGUCCGGAUUUACUGGGUGUAAAGGGUGCGCAGGCGGAUGGGUAAGUCAGGGGUGAAAGUCUGCAGCUUAACUGUAGAAUUUCCUUUGAUACUGCUCAUCUUGAGUGUGGGAGAGGUUGAUGGAAUUCCAGGUGUAGAAGUGAAAUGCGUAGAUAUCUGGAAGAACACCAGUGGCGAAGGCGGUCAACUGGCCCAUAACUGACGCUCAUGCACGAAAGCGUGGGG